GAGUCUAGACGCCGACAGUAGUCUUGAAAGCGCUCCCAUGCUUCUAGAACAGAUUCAUCAUUUUGUUGCUGAAAACUUGUGAUCUUCCCACGGAGAGC
rnacentral:snoRNA from 1 species